GUGUACGCUAUUAUGCAGAAUGAAGAAGCGGGAAAUGCGAAUAAGGAACAUCCAUGAUGUUGGGUUCAUUGACCCACAAAUCGUUAAUUCAUAUGUGUUAGAACACCACCCCGCCGACGUGGAGGAUGACCUGUGGCGGUUUAUUAGAAAACAGGAACUCAAAAGUGAUAUUCUAUUUCCUUACCAUUUUGGGUGAGUGUUUCUGUCUUGAGCACAUUCUCUUUUGUUUACUCCAUGCAUGGUAUGUGGCUAAUCGAUGAGUUAUGCAUGACUGUGCAUGUAUCGUGUCCGCAGGUUCCACUGGAUUCUUAUGGUAAUUCAAUUUCACACCUCCUCAGUUCUCGUCCACGACUCUCUGAAUAUGGAUCCGGCGCUUUGGGCCGACAUGAGAAAAAUGAUGCAAAAGGUUUGGAGACGGUUCGUAGAUACCAAGGUCGGUGAAUUCAAAAAAGAGCUACAUUUUAAAAUGGCAGUGCGGACGACUGGGGAUAUUCAGCCACCGGGGACCAAUCUAUGUGGAUACUAUGUUUGUGAGAGGAUCCGAAGAUACUGCAAUGAGCGGGACCACAAGUGUGAGAACAACAUCAUGAGGAAUAACCUCCGGAAGACGCUUAGUCCAGAAGCUCGCUUCCGACCACUUCAAGAGGAACUAGCUGGAUGGUUGGCGAGGGAAGUCAUCGAUCCUAGAGGAGAACACCAUUACGAUGACGUAGAACUUCAUAUGCACUAAAUUAUGGAUGGAAACUUGUUCAAAAUUGUAUAUGGUCAUCCGAUAUUGAAUAUAUAUUGUAUAUUCCUCUUGAAUUCUUUUUGGUUCUAAUUUCAAAUUUGUUUGAAAUUGUAAA